UCUAGCAAAGCCAAGUAAAUCUAAUUUUUAAGAAUUAUUCAAUAAAGGUACAGCUUUAUUGAAAAAGGAAACAACCUAAACCUUAGGAUAAUGAAUAUUUUUAAAUAGGUAAAAGGCCAAGUUGGCCUAAAAGCAGCCAUCUUUAAAGAUAGCGUCAAAGCUUCACCUUAAACACACCUUAAAUCUCAUUAUUUUUUCAUAAUCCAACAAUUCUACUAAGCCAUUCUAUACUUUUAUAGAAAAGUUUAUGUUAGGACUAGUAACACAGAAUAAUUUCUCUUACAUGUAAGUUUAAAUCAACCCGAAUACCUCCUUGAUAAUUACUCAAAUUUGAACCUUAAGUAGUACCUAUUAAUUACAAAAACCCUACUUAACUUAUUGUUAAUCAAACAUAUGGAUAUGAAAGAAAGAUUAAAAAAUUAAGAAGGAACUCGGCAAACACAAGUCCCGCCUGUUUACCAAAAACAUCGCCUUUUGAAAAGUAUAAAAGGUAACGCCUGCCCACUGACAGUAUGUUUAACGGCCGCGGUAUUCUGACCGUGCGAAGGUAGCGUAAUCACUUGUCUUUUAAAUGAAGACUCGUAUGAAAGGCAUCACGAGAACUUAGCUGUCUCCUUAAUUCAAUCAGUGAAACUGAUACCCCUGUAAAAAAGCAGGGAUGAUUACAUAAGACGAGAAGACCCUGUGGAGCUUAAAACAUAAGCUACUUCUAUACUCUACUAACUUAUAGUACUAAAAUACAAACCUAGCCUAAGUUUUCUGUUGGGGCGGCUGUGGAGAAAAACUUAUCCUCCAUGAAGAAAAAACUUUGAUCUACCGCUCUUAGUAUUAGCAAGCCUAACUUAAAUUGAUCCAAUUUUUGAUCAACGGACCAAGUUACCCCAGGGAUAACAGCGCAAUCCAUUUCAAGAGUCCCUAUCGACAAAUGGGUUUACGACCUCGAUGUUGGAUUAGGACAUCCUAGUGGUGUAGCCGCUAC
rnacentral:rRNA from 1 species